rnacentral:tRNA from 1 species
GGGGCUGUAGUUCAGCUGGGAGAACACUACACUGGCAGUGUAGAUGUCAGGGGUUCGAGUCCCCUCAGCUCCACCA